UACGUAGGGGGCAAGCGUUGUCCGGAAUCAUUGGGCGUAAAGAGCGCGUAGGCGGUGCGGUAAGUCCGCUGUGAAAGUCAAGGGCUCAACCCUUGAAUGCCGGUGGAUACUGCCGUACUAGAGUCCGGAAGAGGCGAGUGGAAUUCCGUGGUGUAGCGGUGAAAAUGCGCAGAUAUCAGGAGGAACACCGGUGGCGAAGGCAGCUCGCUGGGACGGUACUGACGCUGAGGCGACGAAAGCGUGGGGAGCAAACAGG
rnacentral:rRNA from 1 species